UCCUACCCUCCUGCACUGUUUGCAACCACAGUUUUGGAGAGAUUACUGCACAAUCUCCCUGGGUGCCUGUGGGUGGAGCUUCCUGUUAAGUGAAUGACAGUUCAGAUGUGACUGGUUCUCAGUAAUACUGGUGAGUUCCAGUAAAACUGGAACAUUUUGACAGUAAGAAGAGAACUUCUCUGGACCCAAGACUCUACAUCCUCCGGGGUGGGGGCAGAGGUACCCCAGUAACUGAGCAAGGAGUCAUGAAGCGGUGGUGGGAAGCCUUGCUGGGGCUUCUGUGGGUCCAGCUUUGCUGGGUGAGAGCGGUGAAGGUGGAGCAGAGCCCUUCAGUCCUGAAUCUGCAGGAGGGAGCCAACUGUACUCUGAGGUGCAAUUUUUCUGCCACAGUGAGCAGUGUGCAGUGGUUCCAGCAGAAUCCUGGAGGCAGCCUCGCCAGGCUGUUUUUCAUAGCUUCAGGGAUGAAGCAGAAUGGAAGGCUGAGUUCCACAGUGAAUUCUAAGGAGCUGUACAGCACCCUGCACAUCGCAGCCUCCCAGCUGGAAGACGCAGCCACCUACCUCUGUGCGGUGGAGGCACAGUGCUCCCAGGUGGCCUGCAGCCUGUGCCCAAACUGCAGCUGCCCCAGCCCCGCCCCUCCGCGGGCUGGCACGUGUCCCCACAGUAGCCUUUGAUAGAAGGUUGAGUCAAUCUCUGACUCUGCAGGAUCCUAAAGUGGGUAGCAGUAAACUUUGUUGAUCAAUUAUUACAAAAUAAAUGUUUAUAUGUCAACAUCACAAUAAUGCUUGUGGGAGAGAUAUUAGAAUUCCCUGAAAAUGAGAAACUCUGGUUUUGAAAAUUGCUGCUACAUUGGAAAGCAAAUUUUCAUAAGUGUAGAAACUGAAAUUGCAUGUGAUAAUAGUUUCAAUGAAAAAGAAUAGCAUUUUCAUGUUUGAGUUAACCCAA